rnacentral:rRNA from 1 species
AAUGAACGCUGGCGGCAUGCCUUACACAUGCAAGUCGAACGGCAGCAUGACCUAGCUUGCUAGGUUGAUGGCGAGUGGCGAACGGGUGAGUAAUGCAUCGGAACGUGCCUUUUAGUGGGGGAUAACGUAGCGAAAGUUACGCUAAUACCGCAUAUUCUCUGAGGAGGAAAGCAGGGGACCUUCGGGCCUUGCGCUAGAAGAGCGGCCGAUGUCGGAUUAGCUAGUUGGUGAGGUAAAGGCUCACCAAGGCAACGAUCCGUAGCGGGUCUGAGAGGAUGAUCCGCCACACUGGGACUGAGACACGGCCCAGACUCCUACGGGAGGCAGCAGUGGGGAAUUUUGGACAAUGGGCGCAAGCCUGAUCCAGCCAUGCCGCGUGAGUGAAGAAGGCCUUCGGGUUGUAAAGCUCUUUCGGCUGGGAAGAAAUCGCACCCUCUAAUACAGGGUGCGGAUGACGGUACCAGCAUAAGAAGCACCGGCUAACUACGUG